CACAGCACACCCGAAUUAACCCAGCGAACAGUUUGGGUCUAAGCUAUUUGACAGCCUCCUGGUAAACCAUGAGCAAACCACCUAACAAUACACGUCGACAUGCGGGCAAAGACCAUGAAGCAGCGUCCUGAUGGAUGGGAGUGAAGGCUGGAGAGUGGGAGUGUCACAUGCACACACACACGCACACACAGACCCGUGCCAGCACGCGAUGCACACGCAUCGCUGGUGUUCCCCACGGCAGAAGGCAGCAGGGCCAGUCCGUGACGAAGGGCACCAGUGGGGGCUUCUGCUCAUUUCCCUCUGUCCUCUGUGUAGUGCUGGAAGCGAGUGAAGCUCAUGAAGACUUGCUCCAGGGAUAUCUGGCUCACCGAAUAGUCUUCCAAGCGGUACUUCUCUUUGGCUUUCUCCAAGGCCCCGAAGACCUGCAAGGGACAGCAUGGCAGUUACUGCAGGGUACCUCAGCUGCGGGAGAACCCCAUGGGUUGCAGCCAAGAAAGCGGAGGAAGCCUUCUCCUCCAGGGAGAGCCAGGGGAAGGGAAACCUCCCCUGGCAGGAGGGCAGUGGUAAGCCAGAAGAUGGAUUAUUUAGCAGAGCACCUGACCCCAUUUUAAAAUAUGUAUUUUACAUAUACAUAUAUAUAUAUAUGAUACAAACAUAUAUAUACAAAUGUAUUUUUUUUUAAAUAUAUCCCUGGGCUGGGAUCCCAGCUCAAUACAUUAUAAAUAUAAAAUAUGUAUAUAAUAGAUAAAAAACUAUAUAUAUACAGAUAUAAAAAUGUAUAUACUGUGUACAAAAACUAUCUGUAUAUUAUAUGCAUAUAUAUGUAUACUACCUAGACAUAAACAUGUAUCGACAGUAUAUAACUGUCUGCAUACAC